GAUGAACGCUGGCGGCGUGCCUAAUACAUGCAAGUCGAGCGAACAGACGAGGAGCUUGCUCCUCUGACGUUAGCGGCGGACGGGUGAGUAACACGUGGAUAACCUACCUAUAAGACUGGGAUAACUUCGGGAAACCGGAGCUAAUACCGGAUAAUAUAUUGAACCGCAUGGUUCAAUAGUGAAAGACGGUUUUGCUGUCACUUAUAGAUGGAUCCGCGCCGCAUUAGCUAGUUGGUAAGGUAACGGCUUACCAAGGCAACGAGGCGUAGCCGACCGGAGAGGGUGAUCGGCCACACUGGAACGGAGACACGGUCCAGACUCCUACGGGAGGCAGCAGUAGGGAAUCUUCCGCAAUGGGCGAAAGCCUGACGGAGCAACGCCGCGUGAGUGAUGAAGGUCUUCGGAUCGUAAAACUCUGUUAUUAGGGAAGAACAAAUGUGUAAGUAACUAUGCACGUCUUGACGGUACCUAAUCAGAAAGCCACGGCUAACUACGUG
rnacentral:rRNA from 1 species